rnacentral:rRNA from 1 species
AUUGAACGCUGGCGGCAGGCCUAACACAUGCAAGUCGAACGAGUGGCGGACGGGUGAGUAAUGUCUGGGAAACUGCCUGAUGGAGGGGGAUAACUACUGGAAACGGUAGCUAAUACCGCAUACCAUGGGAGGGGCCAAGAGGGGAUUAGCUAGUGGGUGGGGUAACGGCUCACCUAGGGGACGAUCCCUAGCUGGUCUGAGAGGAUGACCAGCCACACUGGAACUGAGACACGGUCCAGACUCCGACGGGAGGCAGCAGUGGGGAAUAUUGCACAAUGGGCGCAAGCCUGAUGCAGCCAUGCCGCGUGUAUGAAGAAGGCCUUCGGGUUGUAAAGUACUUUCAGCGGGGAGGCGUUACCCGCAGAAGAAGCACCGGCUAACUCCGUGCCAGCAGCCGCGGUAAUUC